rnacentral:rRNA from 1 species
CAGUAGCCGCGGUAAUACGUAGGGUGCGAGCGUUAAUCGGAAUUACUGGGCGUAAAGCGUGCGCAGGCGGUUGUGUAAGACAGGUGUGAAAUCCCCGGGCUUAACCUGGGAACUGCGCUUGUGACUGCACAGCUAGAGUAUGGCAGAGGGGGGUGGAAUUCCACGUGUAGCAGUGAAAUGCGUAGAGAUGUGGAGGAACACCGGUGGCGAAGGCGGCUCACUGGUCCGGAACUGACGCUGAGGCACGACAGCGUGGGGAGCAAACAGGAUUAGAUACCCGGGUAGUCCCUGUCUCUUAUAA